rnacentral:rRNA from 1 species
UCCUACGGGAGGCAGCAGUGGGGAAUAUUGGACAAUGGGGGAGAGCCUGAUCCGCCCACCCGCGUGGUGGAUGAAGGGUUUUCGGGAUGAAAGCAUUUUAACUGGAAAGGAAGGGCACUAAUUUAUUACCGGGUGUCUGACGUACCUACAGAUAGC